GUGACUGCGUACCUUUUGUAUAAUGGGUCAGCGACUUAUAUUCUGUAGCAAGGUUAACCGAAUAGGGGAGCCGGAGGGAAACCGAGUCUUAAUUGGGCGUUAAGUUGCAGGGUAUAGACCCGAAACCCGGUGAUCUAGCCAUGGGCAGGUUGAAGGUUGGGUAACACUAACUGGAGGACCGAACCGACUAAUGUUGAAAAAUUAGCGGAUGACCUGUGGCUGGGGGUGAAAGGCCAAUCAAACCGGGAGAUAGCUGGUUCUCCCCGAAAGCUAUUUAGGUAGCGCCUCGUGAAUUCAUCUCCGGGGGUAGAGCACUGUUUCGGCUAGGGGGCCAUCCCGGCUUACCAACCCGAUGCAAACUGCGAAUACCGGAGAAUGUUAUCACGGGAGACACACGGCGGGUGCUAACGUCCGUCGUGAAGAGGGAAACAACCCAGACCGCCAGCUAAGGUCCCAAAGUCAUGGUUAAGUGGGAAACGAUGUGGGAAGGCCCAGACAGCCAGGAUGUUGGCUUAGAAGCAGCCAUCAUUUAAAGAAAGCGUAAUAGCUCACUGGUCGAGUCGGCCUGCGCGGAAGAUGUAACGGGGCUAAACCAUGCACCGAAGCUGCGGCAGCGACACUCAGGUGUUGUUGGGUAGGGGAGCGUUCUGUAAGCCUGCGAAGGUGGCCUGUGAGGGUUGCUGGAGGUAUCAGAAGUGCGAAUGCUGACAUAAGUAACGAUAAAGCGGGUGAAAAGCCCGCUCGCCGGAAGACCAAGGGUUCCUGUCCAACGUUAAUCGGGGCAGGGUGAGUCGACCCCUAAGGCGAGGCCGAAAGGCGUAGUCGAUGGGAAACGGGUUAAUAUUCCCGUACUUGGUGUUACUGCGAAGGGGGGACGGAGAAGGCUAUGUUGGCCGGGCGACGGUUGUCCCGGUUUAAGCGUGUAGGUGUGUGUUCCAGGUAAAUCCGGAAAAUCAAGGCUGAGGCGUGACGACGAGGCACUACGGUGCUGAAGCAACAAAUGCCCUGCUUCCAGGAAAAGCCUCUAAGCAUCAGGUAACAUCAAAUCGUACCCCAAACCGACACAGGUGGUCAGGUAGAGAAUACCAAGGCGCUUGAGAGAACUCGGGUGAAGGAACUAGGCAAAAUGGUGCCGUAACUUCGGGAGAAGGCACGCUGACACGUAGGUGAAGUGAUUUACUCAUGGAGCUGAAGUCAGUCGAAGAUACCAGCUGGCUGCAACUGUUUAUUAAAAACACAGCACUGUGCAAACACGAAAGUGGACGUAUACGGUGUGACGCCUGCCCGGUGCCGGAAGGUUAAUUGAUGGGGUCAGCGCAAGCGAAGCUCCUGAUCGAAGCCCCGGUAAACGGCGGCCGUAACUAUAACGGUCCUAAGGUAGCGAAAUUCCUUGUCGGGUAAGUUCCGACCUGCACGAAUGGCGUAAUGAUGGCCAGGCUGUCUCCACCCGAGACUCAGUGAAAUUGAACUCGCUGUGAAGAUGCAGUGUACCCGCGGCAAGACGGAAAGACCCCGUGAACCUUUACUAUAGCUUGACACUGAACAUUGAGCCUUGAUGUGUAGGAUAGGUGGGAGGCUUUGAAGUGUGGACGCCAGUCUGCAUGGAGCCGACCUUGAAAUACCACCCUUUAAUGUUUGAUGUUCUAACGUGGACCCGUGAUCCGGGUUGCGGACAGUGUCUGGUGGGUAGUUUGACUGGGGCGGUCUCCUCCUAAAGAGUAACGGAGGAGCACGAAGGUUGGCUAAUCCUGGUCGGACAUCAGGAGGUUAGUGCAAUGGCAUAAGCCAGCUUGACUGCGAGCGUGACGGCGCGAGCAGGUGCGAAAGCAGGUCAUAGUGAUCCGGUGGUUCUGAAUGGAAGGGCCAUCGCUCAACGGAUAAAAGGUACUCCGGGGAUAACAGGCUGAUACCGCCCAAGAGUUCAUAUCGACGGCGGUGUUUGGCACCUCGAUGUCGGCUCAUCACAUCCUGGGGCUGAAGUAGGUCCCAAGGGUAUGGCUGUUCGCCAUUUAAAGUGGUACGCGAGCUGGGUUUAGAACGUCGUGAGACAGUUCGGUCCCUAUCUGCCGUGGGCGCUGGAGAACUGAGGGGGGCUGCUCCUAGUACGAGAGGACCGGAGUGGACGCAUCACUGGUGUUCGGGUUGUCAUGCCAAUGGCACUGCCCGGUAGCUAAAUGCGGAAGAGAUAAGUGCUGAAAGCAUCUAAGCACGAAACUUGCCCCGAGAUGAGUUCUCCCUGAGACUUUAGGUCUCCUGAAGGAACGUUGAAGACGACGACGUUGAUAGGCCGGGUGUGUAAGCGCAGCGAUGCGUUGAGCUAACCGGUACUAAUGAACCGUGAGGCUUAACCUUACAACGCCGAAG
rnacentral:rRNA from 1 species